UACGUAGGUGGCAAGCGUUGUCCGGAUUUACUGGGCGUAAAGAGCGCGCAGGCGGUCGUUCAAGUCGCGUGUGAAAGCCCCCGGCUCAACUGGGGAGGGUCACGCGAUACUGAUCGACUCGAAGGCAGGAGAGGGAAGUGGAAUUCACGGUGUAGUGGUGAAAUGCGUAGAUAUCGGGAGGAACACCAGUGGCGAAGGCGACUUCCUGGCCUGUUCUUGACGCUGAGGCGCGAAAGCUAGGGGAGCAAACGGG
rnacentral:rRNA from 1 species